rnacentral:rRNA from 1 species
CUGGCUCAGAACGAACGCUGGCGGCAUGCCUAAUACAUGCAAGUCGAACGGAGAUAGCAAUAUCUAGUGGCGAACGGGUGCGUAACACGUGAGCAACCUGCCUUAUACAUCGGAAUAACAGCUGGAAACGGCUGCUAAUACCGGAUAAGACCACACCAAGGCAUCUUGGAGAGGUCAAAGCGAAUUAGCGGUAUGAGAUGGGCUCGCGUCCAAUUAGCUAGUUGGUGGGGUAACGGCCCACCAAGGCAACGAUUGGUAGCCGACUUGAGAGAGUGAUCGGCCACACUGGAACUGAGACACGGUCCAGACUCCUACGGGAGGCAGCAGUAGGGAAUAUUGGGCAAUGGAGGAAACUUCCUUACCCAGCAAUGCCGCGUGAAUGAUGAAGGUCUUAUGGAUUGUAAAGUUCUUUAAUUGGGGACGAAAGAAAUGACGGUACCCAAAGAAUAAGCCCCGGCUAACUAUGUGCCAGCAGCGGC